rnacentral:rRNA from 1 species
UACGUAGGGGGCUAGCGUUGUCCGGAUUUAUUGGGCGUAAAGAGCGUGUAGGCGGCCAGGUAGGUCUGCUGUGAAAACUCGAGGCUCAACCUCGAGACGUCGGCGGAAACCAUCUGGCUAGAGUCCGGAAGAGGAGAGUGGAAUUCCUGGUGUAGCGGUGAAAUGCGCAGAUAUCAGGAAGAACACCCGUGGCUAAGGCGGCUCUCUAGUACGGUACUGACGCUGAGACGCGAAAGCGUGGGGAGCAAACAGG